ensembl:lncRNA
GGUCUGAUUGCGAUUUGCGGUUCCACUAAUACGCCGAUACGUGUGAGCCUGCUGACGGCUGUUUAAGGCUCUUGUCCUCAUUUAAGAUAAAACCGUGAAUUAUUGUCAGAGACGAGGCGUUAACUUAAAGGGUCCGUUUCACUCGUUCACAAAUAUAAGACAUGAAUGCAGAUUCCAUGUUUUUCAUUUUUUUGUCUGUGGGAGGAAGUGUUGUUAAAUCUCUAAACAAGGUGAGUUGAGUGGAUUAUAGGGGAGUAACAGGGACACGGGUUGUGGCAAACGGUUUGCUGUAUUUUAGACACUCUUGUUUAAUUGUUAAUGCUAUUUAGCUGUGUUUAAAGUGCCAACAAUCUCCCCACAUUUAGCCGUGACGUUUUCAAACCACGGCCUUUUCUGGACACGGUGGUGGUGGUCCUCUGCAGACUGUGUGCCGCGCAGGGCACCGUUACAUGCUGAGAUGGACGGCUGAUAGAGAAGGUUAUCGACAAACGUGCGUUAACUACGAUAAAAUAUUUUGUUGCAUUAAUCGCGGCCACUGUAAUCGCAUAGAUUAAUACGUUCAUGUUGACCGCUCUAGUUUAAAGCAGCGCUGGUUUUCUGACGUGUGUAGUGCUCCAGUUCAUUCAGAACGAUGACAAAGAGGGAGAAGAACAGAAGGCAGAUUCACACAUAUACUCCACGCAGAGAUGGAAUCAAAACCUUGUUGAAAUGAAGAACAAUCACGUUUCUGAGUUUCUUAAGACAGCAAAAGAUGUCAUGGAUUUAAAGGUUUACACUUUAAUAAAACACGAUGGACAUUUAAAACAGAAAGAGAACUUCCCUCAACUCAAUAACUUUCUCCAAAUCCCCGAAACCUGGCGGUACGCGAGGCCGCCCGGUUGACAACGCGGCGAAUCCUCAGAGCGACUCGCACGCGUGUUUGGAAGAUUCUUCUCCCCCCCCCCGCACGCAUCCCACCAACGCCGCUACACGUCUGCCCUCCCUGUCUCAAAGCAGCCUCGGGGCGGUGGAGCUGCUAAUCUCGGGCGCCAUAUAGAAAAAAUGGAAAUGUGUAUGUGGAUGGGAGGGGCGGGCAGGGAGAGGAGAGAGGUGGCUUGCCCUUACACCGUGGCGAGAUGAAAAGCCCUCAAAGCCUGGAGAUGAGGAAAACACUGGCAGGGCAGAAGUCAAACUCCCAAGGCCGUCAGAGAGAGAGAGAGAGACAGAGAGACAGACAGAGAGCUAACUUUUCCCUUUUCGCCCCGCAGCAGAUUGUGUACGUGGUCAAACCGAGGACCCGGUGUGGAAACUCUCCAGUUAGUGAGCAUGAAUUGCAAAGUUCUCGGGCAACUUCCGUCGGAGGCCGGCAGGCCGGCAGAGUGCGGUGACCCGGUUCGGUGUUCCCGCCGCGUCGGACGGACUCUCCCACACUUUCACAGAGGUUUCAUUUUGCUCGCCUCGUUCAGUUACACGCCAAAGGUACUGCAGACACGGUGUUUAUUUCAUUAUUAUAAUAGAUCACGUUUAUUAUACACACAGCAUUGCAGAAAGGGCGAAAGAUGGGUUACUUUAUAAACGGUUUAGACGCACAAAUCACAAAUAAUAUUUGAGUAUUUGAAAUAAUAUAAGAGUUUUAAAACUUUAUUAAUUCAUAAAUGUGUAACUUUACUAUGCAUUUAGUGACAUAUCGUUACAUUGAAGCCCUUAAAGUCUGUCUUUUACUUAUUGUUCCUCCACCUGGAUGUGCAGAGUUUGGCACGUUGUUUGUUUCACUUUUUCACAUGAAUCUGCUGAAAAAGUUUCUAAAAGCUCGAAUAACAACAAGAGACUCCUGAACAUGCAAAGAGUCUCUGAGGACAAAUGACACCAGAGACAAAUUAGGAUAUUUUUAACAUGUCCGAGGGUGACUUCAAGAUUUAUGUAUGUAUUUAUGUACAUAGAUAUAUGUAUAAUCAGGGUUGAAGUAUUUAGAAUAAAAGAAAUCAACGGGGAUUUGGACAAUUAUUGUAACUUUUUAACGUUCAAAACAUUCAAUUACUGUAGUUUGAUCUCCUGGUCACUAGAGUCCGUUGACAGAAACAAUCAUUUUAAAGAAAACUUUACCACGUAAAAGUACUAAAUAAAAUGGUUUGAAAGUUACACAGACGGAACAACAAGCUGCACACACACUGAUGCACACUGGUCAUUCUGGUGGAGACGACGUCGGCGUUUCUAAAAGUCGCCCCGAUGAAUCCUUAGAAGCAGCGGACACUCCAACAGUGUAGCCUGUGACUUCUUUUAGCGCUCAUCCCGAUCGCGCUCUCACACGGCAACUUCAUGAACACGUCACUCUUGGUUUUAAAACCCUAAACAUUCACGCCUCCAGCCUCCUGGCAGUGUCGACCGUAAUCACAUCUUUGUCUUUGCACAAACUACAGUAAAUUCACCCGUUUUACCACAAUCAAUACAGACAAAGAAAACACACACACACACUGCAGAUGCGUGAGCAGCUGAUGCUGGGGGUUAAGUGUUCACAUGGAGGUGUGCGUGCGAGGGAAAAGUGUGUAACGCGCUGAAGUGAUCAAUGUCCUUAAGCACCUCGCCCCGCUCUGCGCCGGGCCCCUCUUGAUGAGUCGCUGCUGUGAUUGGCCUGGAAAAACAAGUGGCCCUGCAGUCACCUGACCAUCAGCGCCCCCCCCGCCCCCCCGCCCACACAGUCGGCCUGGCACGGGGACGCGUCGUGCAGGUGUACCACAGUCGGAAGUUAUUCAUCGUCCAUAAUGUUAACGAUUACAGCAUGUCGAUAGCGGACCCGGGAGUUAAAUGAGUUUGUGCACUCAGCGACGCUGCGCCUUUGGCGGUUCAAGGUCACUCCCUUCCUCCUCCUGACAGGCGGGACGAUUCCCGGGGCCCGGCCCGCGGGCGCAAACACAUCUUGGCUCAAGGUCAAGCGAGCCACUAUUUAGAACAAAUAGAUACAUAAAGCACUCAAUCUGGCGGGCCGGUUAAGUACGGGCCGGGACCUUGGGCCGGGAUAAAAGUUGGCCGGGCAGCUCGUAUUUUUCGUCCUGUACUUGUAUUUCAGCGGGACACUUUGUCACCCCCCCCCGGCCCCCUCCUCCACCACCCUUCUCCCUCCACUCCUUUCCGACCCGCUUUAACGCUUUCAACUCGCUCUCAUGUGACCAUUGAUUUUCGUCCCGUAAGGGCUCACCGGAGUGCAAUGCGGACGACUCCGUCGAGCGCCUUUUCGGGACGGGGCGUCCGCCGCUUGCCCCCCCCGUUAAGCUGCUCCGCGGGACGCGCCCGUGACCAAAGCUGCUAUUCAACCCCCGGAUCGGCCUGGAAGAAACAAAACACGGAACACAGGGGCCCUUUUGUGUUUGGGCACGAGCGGGACAAGGCCGGGGCGCGUGGCGAGGGGACACACUCCAUCGGGAGUCAGUUAGCAGCUCAUGCCUAUCGUAGUGGACAAUGGGUGCAAGGGGCAAGUGUCUCCCUCCCCUUCCACUCUCUCUCUCCC